rnacentral:sRNA from 1 species
ACACGAGAAGGGAGGUGGUUCGGCAGAUGAUUUCUUACCGGACGCGUGAGGUGACUGCGGGCUAGCGGCCCGUCGUCGCACUCAGUGUGCAGCGCCGGACCAGCGCAGGAGUCAGCUGCGCAGCCGGCCCAAUCCCCAGCAGUCACCCGACCCGCGGGCUGCCGGUUCGUCCGACCGGCCCCUUCGCGCCCCAGGCGCGGGGGAAGCCCGCGGGUCGCCUGCG